CUAGAAGUAGAGUCCAUUUAAGACACUCUAACUAUCCCCAGUGAGAAACCAAGGUGAUGGGGAUGGGGAAGGAGGGAUGAGUAGUGAGAUGUUUUUUUUGAGGGCAGAUCAAUAGGACUUGUUGAUUCAGAUGGGGGGUGGAGGGACUGUACGGAGAUUUCUUUAUUAAGAGUAAAAAGUUGAUUCUUAUGAAGCCUAAGUGAUUGAAGUCAGCUCUAGACUCUUGCUGGGAACUCGGACUUAAAAGGGACACUGUAUUUUUAGAUGCAUGGAUCUUGAUUGUGGCUAAUAAUUAAUUCAUGGUAUCAUUAUUUUCACCUUCCUUUGUAUAGUGUCAAAAAGCCCCCACUGAAGUAAACAGCAAUGCUUUACUUUGCCAAUGAUUAUCGGUUUCAUAAUAUGUCAUACACAAUCCCAGAGCAACUCUGCCUAUUAGCUUGGGUUGCCCACUGACAGAUAAUUACCACCUGGUGUUCCUGCACUGUAAUAAGGAUCUUUGAUUUCAUUUUAUCCAUUUCUUGAAAUAACAUUGAAAGAUGGAUAAAUUACCCCACUCCUAAAAUUGGUUGAGAAAAACCAAGAAUCAAAAGCCAAGAAAAGGUCACAUUUCCCAGCUUACAACUUCCUCCUUUCCCUUAGGCAGCUGGCACCUGGCUUUCUGCUCAAUUCCAGCCAUGAGUGGGAAGCUCCUGGCUUUCUGGAGCCAGAGGAUGUUCAGGAGGAAAGCCCACUCAGCCGAGGGUGAGGCCACAGCUGGGAGGAUGACUCGCACUGGAUCCAGAAAGAAAACAAAUGGUCCCAGAAAUAUGGUGCUUACCCUGAAGAUGGCCAAUGCAUGAGACUUGGCACAUGUGGCUGCUCUGCUCUAACCAUCAAUUUUUACAGUUUUGCAGCCAAGCAUGAGCACGACUUGAAAAUGAUACCAACAGUGAAAGAGCACCCUCACGUCCCUCUAG
rnacentral:lncRNA from 1 species